UAAGCCUAAAUUGAGAUUAAGACCUUCAAAACUUCAUUUAAAGAUGAAUGAAUUUGAUUUGAUUUUUAUUAUAUUUAAUUUAUUCUCCGAAUGAAUUCUCGAGUUUUACAUCGAGAUAAUUUAAUUUUAUUGGAAAUUUAUUCGUUUAAAGCGCUUGGAUUUUUGAUAAUUUCUAAACUAAUUUAUUUAAAAAAAAAAACAUAAUUUACAAGUCCUUAAUUUAAUUGUUUAAUGUUUUUUUUUGCUAAGCAAUUGUUUAAUGUUUUAAUUGGGAAUUUGCGAAUAUGAUUUUGUUGAUUAAAUAGAUAACCAAAUUGUUUUAUCUUGUUGUCAAAUUUCCAUUACUUCUUAAUUUAUGUGGCAAAACAUUUCUAGAGGAACCUAAGCCCAACCACAAGCCCAUUAUUUCUUUUACAAAUGAACCAAAACCCAAACCCAAACCCAUCUCCCUCAUUUUCCAUUCUCUCUCCUCACGGUGAGUCUCUCUCUCCUCCUCCUUGCUCCGCCGCCCCACCGACGCCGUACUCCCUUCUCCUCCGCAUGCACAACUGAUGUCGUGUGUUGCUAGUGUUGUUGUUGAUCUAUCUCUGCCCGUUUUCUUGCUCUGCCUUCCCCUCCUCCCUCGCAGCACCGCCACCGCCACCGCCACCGCCACCGCCAAUGGUGGCCAUGGACAUCACUUUCAUCAUGCUCCAUCUCCCAAAUGCCACCACCGAUGCCUCCACGGCUGGUCGUUUAGCCGGUCGGUGUUGCAAGUGGUUUUCUCAAAUGGUUGUUGAUUGUUGUUGUAGCUGACUUUUGUGGCCCCUCAUUCCUUCUUUGCUUAUGUUCCGGUGCUCCAUCGCCGCCACUGCCACCCCGCCGCCUCCCCUUCGUCGCUGCCUGCGGAGACCUUGCUCCCCAGCCACCGCUAUUGUUGUUGUUGUUGUUGUUGUUGUUGUUGUUCCGAUCUUGUUGUUGCUAAAUCCUUCUUGCUCUUCCAUUUAUAUUUAAAGGUAUACUUCAAUUCCUUUUAGAGUUAUUUUAGUUUAGCCCAAUUAGAUUGAAAUAGUUAUUGGGAAUCAAUUUGUCAUUGAUUAAUUAUUUUGAUUUUAUGAAAAUAAUUUCAGUAGUUUAA